GAUCUGUGGAGAAUUACCAGAGACUUUAUCUAACACAAAAACAGGAAGGGAAACGGUGACAGGAUAAACUGAAAGGAGCCUGUUGGGAGAAGUUGUAGUAGUCCGAUGAAAACAAAAUCGUGAGCAAUAUGUUUGGCUCAGAAAACAAAACGCAUCAUUGAAGGAACUCUAUACCCACCAUGGUAGUGGCAGCAUCAUGCUCUGAGGUCGCAUUUUUUCAGUCAUCUGAGGAAGUUGUGAAACCCUAAAACAGUAAAAAUGUAAAUAGAAGAAUUACCUUUUAAGAGUGAACUUUAAGACAUGACAUGAUGAUUCAGAUUUUGACUUCUUAAGCAGAUUUGGUUAUCUUUAAAGCUAAGGAAUAUUUUUCCUCUCUAAACUUUCCUGAAGCUUUUAUCUGCAGCAAAUAAUGAUUCUCCUGCUGCAACAUUGAAUAAUUCCAUCAUUGCACCCGCUUCGUCUUUUAAUAAAUCACAUUGUAAAUCGUCUGUUAGAUAAAGAGUGGGUGUGAUUCCUAAUCUUCGCGAGCAGUUAAUCGCCCCCAGAAAUGUACGAGUUGAAACGACCGCGAUCUUGAAAGGCCAUCAUCAUGUUCGAGAGCCAGAAAACGGUUAAAAAUAAAACGGAAGUAAAUCACAAAAGGUCUUUCCAUUGUUCAUAUUCACAACCACAGCAGUGAGGAGCAGACUGCAACCAAGAUGCACACACCUUGGCCAGAACCGAGCCAGACUUUAACUGGCUGGAGUGAGACUUUGAGUGAGAAGCGGCAUUAGUAAUCACACUCCUCAGUUUUUUGGGACUUUUCAGUUUUGCUGGAUUCUACUCUUGCUCUAGCUCUGGCUCUUGUGUUGAUUUUUUUCUUUAAGUUUCCCAUUAUUCCAUUAUUAAACCUGUCGUCACACACUCCAUCAUGCGCCUCCAAAUGUCCUGCUGCCGUUUGAGCACUCGUCAACAAACCUCAGACGUGACAGUUUUCGUCCCGAGCAAUCAUUCAUCACCGUGCAGACUUUAAAUCCCUGCUUUUCAAUCGCUGGGCAGGCUGCCGGUUUGUUGGGCCUUAAGAAGCAGCGACUUCUUUUGAGCUCAUGUUCUUCACCGCAUAAAUCAUUAAAUAAAUCCUCACUUUUAUGUACUCAAAUUCAAGCUGGAGAUUUUAUGACUAGUAUUUUUCUGGGUGGAAGCUGUGAUACGCAUUGACGUCCAAGUUCUGCAUUCCAGAUGUAGCAUCAUCGCCGGUCAGCAUCUUUUUGUAACCUUGUAAUAACAGUUUAUAUAUGAUUUUUCUAGAAGUCAGACAGCGAAAUAAAACUGAACUUACCUAUGAGUUCUGAACACUUGAGAAGAACUGUAAAAAUGAUACGCUCCCUUUACAUAUAUCACUAAAUUUAGUGUCUUUGACAGCUAAAGAUUCAAUGUUCUGAGAAAUUUAUACUGACUGCAUAUGAGCUCCAAAUACGUAGCUCGUAAAUGAAUUCCCAUGAUGUAAAGAUUUUCAGAGGUGCUCUAAAAGCAACUCUUUAGUACAAAACGUAAAACUUGUUUCAUUUAUGACAUGCCUCCCAGCAUAUACAAAAGGUUGAAUAAAACUUUUAUUUUUGAAGCACAACAAAAAUUGUACACAUUCUUUGUUUUACACAUUCACUUUUAACCUUGAUAAUAAAAAAAAAAGUUAUGAACUGACUGGAUUAUGGUAUAUGGCAAAAAAGUGUUCAUAUCUCUCAAACGUUUUCAUAUUUUGUCAAGUUAUAACCAUAAACCUGAAUAUGUUAUCGGGAUUAUACAAAAUACAAUGCAAUUACUUGCAAAAUGUAGUUAUAAAACUGACAAGUGUUGCAUAUUAUAACAAAUUAAAUAUCAACAAAAUGCAUCGACGUUUGUAGAU